AUUGAGCUCUCUAUUCUCAAAUUUACUAUUAAAUCCUCCUUUAGUCCUUAGUUUCAUAAGGAUUUUCGUGGGUAUUCUAGUUAUAGAAAAUGUAGCCCAUUGCUUCCCAUCUCAUGGGCUACACCUUGACCUAACUUUUUUGUGUUAAGAUACUUGUGCUUACUUUUCUUCCUUUUUAGGGUUUGCUGAAGAUGGUGGUAUAUAGGCUGAAUUAGCAAGAGAUGGUGAGGUGUAUCGGGGUUUAUCGAUUAUAGAACAGGCUCCUCUAGAGGGAUAUAAAGCAUCGCCAAGUCCUUUGAGUUUUAAGCUGUUGCUAGUAGUUCUCUGGCAGAUAGUUUUGUUUAGUUAGACUAUCUAUGUUUAGGGCUAAGCAUAGUGGGGUAUCUAAUCCCAGUUUGGGUCUUAGCUAUCGUGUGGCCGGAAAUGUUAAAAGAACGAAAGAGCACACA